rnacentral:rRNA from 1 species
AUGCAUUGUUGCUUCAGAUGGACUGACCCAGAACUCCCAGCAAGUUGCCUGAGGAGCAGAAUAAAGACGUACAGCCUAAAUGCUUCUCCACUGUUGUCAUAUGUAUGCAUGAGUUGCUUGUUUUUCAGGAGUUUCUUCAGCUACGAGUUCAGAACGCGAUGCCAUGGUCUCCCUGUGCUGGUUGGUUCAAAUAUACAUGUAUCUCUGCUUCUCUCUACCAUGGAACUGUCAGUGAGACAAAUACUUGGAAUCCUGGGGGGGAAAAAAAGGUGCACCCUGGGACUGAUGCAUGUCAACAGAGAGGGUGGCAGUACUAUCACUAGCUGGUAUGGUGGCCUCUUUAAUCUUUAUGAUGUUCUUGACACCAACCAGGUACGUUACGUAACGGACGCCUUUUUUUCCCAUCCGAACCGUAUGGUUGUUGGAGCAUUGCUGAUGAUGUGUGUUGUUUGUGCAGUAGAGCCUGCAGCUGAUUCCGUUGAGGGAGGGAGAUGGGGCAGAGAUUGUGCUGUUGGGUGGGGUGGGGUGGGGGAGGAGGGAAAGGGGGGAAGGUGA